rnacentral:rRNA from 1 species
CUAAUAAGGACAACCUUCAUCGCCCCGGAUGCUGAUGCCAUUCUUAACAUCCCAAUCCAAAGGGGAGGAGGAGAGGAUUUUUAUGCUUGGGCCUUUGAACGAUCAGGCAACUACACUGUUAAAUCGGCGUACCGUGCUCUAGUGAUUCGGAACAAGCGCUUUGCUCUAGAAGAAGGGACGGCUACCAGUGCUUCUCGAGAUGAUAAACAGAUGUGGACGGCCUUGUGGAAACUCAAAGUGAUCCCAAAGGUUCGAGUGUUCUGGUGGAGGGUACUGAGAGGGAUCCUACCGGAUGAAUGCACUCUAAAGUAUCGCCAUAUUUCAGUCUUAGAUACUUGUAAAGUUUGUCUAGCAAGAGAGGAGGAUCUCAUGCAUGCGCUCAUUCAAUGUUCCCAUGCAUGA